ensembl:misc_RNA Y_RNA Y RNA
GGCUGGUCCGAGUGCAGUGGUGUUUACAACUAGCUGAUCACAACCAGUUACUGAUGUCAUUGUUCCUUCUCCACUCCCACUGCUUCACUUGCCUUUA